rnacentral:rRNA from 1 species
CAGCCGUAAACUAUGCGCGUUAGGUGUACUGGUGACCACGAGUCACCGGGGUGCCGAAGGGAAACCGUGAAACGUGCCGCCUGGGAAGUACGGUCGCAAGGCUGAAACUUAAAGGAAUUGGCGGGGGAGGCACCGCAACGGGAGGAGCGUGCGGUUUAAUUGGACUCAACGCCGGGAAGCUCACCGGAUAAGACAGCGGAAUGAUUGCCGGGCUGAAGACUCUGCAUGACUAGCUGAGAGGAGGUGCAUGGCGUAGACGUCU